ensembl:lncRNA
AAUAGAAAUAGAAAUAUUUCCAACAAAUAAAAUAUUCAUUCAUUUGAUAUAAGAUCUCCCUAACAACUAAUAAUAUACUCACUCUUCUCAGCAAAUGCGGCUGCCCUAAAGGAGAAAAGAAUCAAUAUAGAAAUGAUUACAGUUAUUUGGACGUAACUAAAAAAUAUGAAUGUUAAAAACCUAGUGUUCUUUUCAAAUAACUCACUUAAGUCUCAGGUACUCUUCAUAGGCGUCGGUGUAUGCUGCAAAAAUAAAAGUGAGCUCGGGACUUUCAUCUCAGAAAAGGUUUUAGAGGAACUCAAAAAUCAGAAUAUAUAAAUACAUGCAAGAAUAAAUACAAUAAAAGCUAAAAUAUAAAAUAAUACCCUUCGAUGUCACAUGUGAUAUCUCGUUACCUUGUCCGGAGAGGUCGAAGGCUCUGGUGUGGGUCUGCACGCCGUCUGAGAUCUCGAUGGAGUAGCUGCCCUUCUCCUUGUCGGAGGGAUCGCAGAUCUGCAUCCAGGCCAUCUCCGCCGUGCCUCCGAUCCGCAUCUUCUCCGAGGAGGCGAUCUUACUCUCCCUGCAGGCGUUUCAUCACAAGUCACAGGGGCAGACUCCGAACGUCUACUGGGAGACGUGACUUUUGAUGGGAGCUAAUGGGAAACGUCAUACUGAAUAAAAACAGGGGAGGGGCGUUGUGUUAGAUUAACCGUACUUGUGUUUCCAGACGGUCUUCAUCUCCUCUGUGUAGUAGCUCAUGUAGCACUGCAGCCUGAUGCCCUCCGGAGUGCACUGCAGCACCAGCUCAGAGGCCGAGGCGCCUGCAAGACCAACCGCAGGUCACACAGGCGAACGUUGCAUUACACGGUACACUUUGGUGUAUUUAUGUUCCGCCAUUUCCGGUAGAGUUUUAGUAUCAAAUGAUAUUUAUUUAAAUUGAAAUGAUUUAAGAUUUGCAUGACUUAUUUGACACCUUGAUCACAUUAUAUUGAUCAGCUAAUCAAACUUACCAGCAAUCUUGGCGAUGGCAUUGAUGAUGUCAUCAAACACUGAAAAUUACACACACGUACGUUAUACUUUAUAACAGGAAUCACAACUACAAAUCUAAAUCUUCUAGAAUUGAUUUUAAAUUCUUCUGCUUAAUAAAGCAGUAACGUUUUGCAACACGUCCACAUGACACCACAGAGGAUGAACAGUAGGCUGAUUUAUGGAAGAAUAAAGAAUCAAAAAUAAGGUAAAUCAGAAAUUAAACACACACAAAAAUAUAAAUAGCCAGUGGCGGAUUUCUCUGAAUACAAAACCCUUUGAACUGCAUGUAAUGUAGGAAAAGUGUCUGAAGAGCAUUUGUAUUGUUACCGUUGCCUGAUAUGUCAAACAGAGACGUGUCCUUCCCUCUGUCGUCACUGAGCACGGCCUUGAAGACGCCUUGAUCCUUCCUGGAAAACUGGAAAAAACAACAACAUUCUUACCAUACCAACAAGCUGCACGGACAUAAAACAUCUGUACACAAAGGUACAUAUAAAUACCAACCUGAAUAUAUGAAUAAAAUACGCUAUUGAGAGAGAUUAUUAAUAGUAUUAAUUAUAUAAGUAAUUAUAACUCUGUUGAGUUUUAGCUUCUUCAACUCUUAUACAAGGUAUGUACACUCCUGCAUGUCCGUGUGUAUCUAUGUACACGGGUACAGAUGUAGAUGUGUGCGUAGGUGUGGAUGCUGCAGUGGUUACCAUGGGGACGGGCAGAGCGACGGCUCCAGACAUCACAUUCACUGGGGUUUCUGGAAAAAUCUCAUCGUCCUCUUUGUACCAGUGGAAGGACGUCUCCUUCUUCACAUUGGCCACCUAAAAAACAAACAAACAAACAAACAAAUAAACAAAACACAUUUGUUAUGUUGCAAUAAAAAGAAGCAAUUGGAAAGACUGUUUGUAGCUGGUGAUUAAAGUUGUACCUUGCAGGCGAGCAUGACGGUGCAAUCCUCAGAGACGGUGAAGUACAGAUACUCAGAGAAAUGUGGACCUAAAGUGAAGAGGAGCAGCAAUAUUAUAUACUGUAUAUACACAUAUAUAUAUAUAUAUAUAUAUGCAAUGAAAAGCUUGUGAUUGUGCAAGCGAUGUUUGGUACGGUUUCCAUGGCGACGUGUAGUUACCUUGCUUCCUGAUGUGCUCUUUCCUCUGAAACUCGGCCUCCUUUAGAGCAGCUUUGAACACUGAAACGGGGGAAAACAGUCGUCUAUAUUCUAGAAUUGUAUAGUUGAAUGAAAGUUAUACUCAAUUAAAGCACUUGUGUAAAGUUACUUUCCACCAUUGAUUUCAUUUCAUGUAAAAAGUGUGUGAUGAGACUGGCACAAAAUGCAUUCUGGACAUCCUUAAAUAAAUGCUGCGCCCUGAGAGAAUAAAUCCCCCGUAACUGCCUCUCUCACUCCGGCGGGACUCACCGUCUCCCACCAGCACCAGGGAGCUCUGCGUCUUGGCCUUGCCGUCGUGGAUCUGCACCGUGUAGGUUCCCUCGUUGGCUCUGGUGAAGUGAUCCAGCGUCAUCUGGAUGACCCCCGAGGGCACGUCGUGGCUGAUCUUGAUGCCCUGAGGGGGAAGAAACGAUUGCCAUACGGCCAGCGUCCGCCUUUACAUCCUGGUGGUCACCAUGUGAAUCUUUGUCACGGCGCCGAGAUCAACCUGAAGGCUGAGACUUUAUCAUAAAGUAACUAGAGCUCUAAAAUAACUGCAGUGAAGUAAAUUUGUUCUCUAUAGAGUCGUACUGAAGGAGUAAGACAGAUGUUUUGGAGUGUGGUUGUGUAAGUGGAAGCUAUAUUUAGAAUAUUUUGUGCGUUAUCUCAUUGUCACCCUGUUAUCUUUGCUCUCCUCACAGCCAACAGACUCCACUGACAAAAACAGACCGUGUAGAACUCUGGAGUUCCUCCGUUGCCUCGGCCUGUUAGUUAGUUAUUACUUUGUGUCAUUGUGACACUUUAAUGCGCAACAUUUCAUUAAAACACAGAAGUCCCACGAGAACCCUUUGAUCUUAAAGCUUAAAACACUGGUUUUGUGAAUGGAGUCUGGUGGUCUGGUGAGAGCAAAGAAAUCAGUCCGUCGGCAAGAUAAAGCAGUUAAAACAUAGUAAAUAUAUCAGAAACAUGAGCUAAUAUCUGUUGUUCUAUGUGUCUAAAAUAGGUCCUCGGCUUAAAGAGCUCCAUCCACAGCAGCAAAACUACGGAGAAGAACUCACUCAAAAACAUCCAAACUCUCAAAGCUCGCGUUACCUCGCCGCUGUGGACCUCCUUGUCGUUGACGAUGACCCGGUAGGACACAGAGGGCGACAGUUUGACGGCCUGCAGCCAGAAACGCACGUGACCUUUCUCCAAAACCUCGUAAUUCAGGCCGUGUUUCAGAGGAACGACUGCACGGGAACAA